UACGUAGGGGGCAAGCGUUGUCCGGAAUCAUUGGGCGUAAAGAGCGUGUAGGCGGCCCGGUAAGUCCGCUGUAAAAGUCAAAGGCUUAACCUUUGAAUGUCAGUGGAUACUGCCGGGCUAGAGUCCGGAAGAGGCGAGUGGAACUCCUGGUGUAGCGGUGGAAUGCGCAGAUAUCAGGAAGAACAUCAGUGGCGAAGGCGGUCUGCUGGGCCGUUGCUGACGCUGAGGCGCGACAGCGUGGGGAGCAAACAGG
rnacentral:rRNA from 1 species